rnacentral:rRNA from 1 species
UCUUCCGCAAUGGACGAAAGUCUGACGGAGCCACGCCGCGUGAGUGAUGAAGGCUUUCGGAUCGUAAAGCUCUGUUGUUAGGGAAGAACAAGUGCCGUUCAAAUAGGGCGGCGCCUUGACGGUCCCUGACCAGAAAGCCACGGCUAACCACGUGCCAGCAGCCGCGGUAAUACGUAGGUGGCAAGCGUUGUCCGGAAUUAUUGGGCGUAAAGGGCUCGCAGGCGGUUUCUUAAGUCUGAUGUGAAAGCCCCCGGCUCAACCGGGGAGGGGCAUUGGAAACUGGGGAACUUGAGUGCAGAAGAGGAGAGUGGAAUUCCACGUGUAGCGGUGAAAUGCGUAGAGAUGUGGAGGAACACCAGUGGCGAAGGCGACUCUCUGGUCUGUAACUGACGCUGAGGAGCGAAAGCGUGGGGAGCGAACAG